AACAAACGCUGGCGGCGUGCCUAACACAUGCAAGUCGAACGUGAAAGUUGGCUUCGGCCGAUGAGUAAAGUGGCGCACGGGUGAGUAACGCGUGGAUAAUCUACCCUUCAGUUGGGAAUAACUCAUCGAAAGGUGAGCUAAUACCGAAUAAUACUGCUUUACCAUGGUCAGGUAGUCAAAGAUAGCCUCUGCUUGCAAGCUUUCGCUGAACGGUGAGUCCGCGUAGCAUUAGCUAGUUGGUGGGGUAAUGGCCUACCAAGGCGACGAUGGUUAGCUGGUCUGAGAGGAUGAUCAGCCACACUGGAACUGAGACACGGUCCAGACUCCUACGGGAGGCAGCAGUGAGGAAUCUUGCGCAAUGGGGGGAAACCCUGACGCAGCAACGCCGCGUGAGUGAGGAAGGUCUUCGGAUCGUAAAGCUCUGUCGGGUGGAAAGAAAUGUAUGGGGUUAAUAGCCUUCAUACUUGACGGUACCACCAAAGGAAGCACCGGCUAACUCCGUGCCAGCCGCCGCCGUAAUAC
rnacentral:rRNA from 1 species